UAUGUUAUUGACAAAGGCAAAUAGGACAAUGUGGGCACUUUUCUGGCAGAGACUUGCAAAAAAAAAAUCAACAAAACAAACAAAACCACAUCCUAGCACUCAAUAGCUUGUUUAUGUGUCUGUCAUUCUGAAUCAUCAGCUGCUCUGCCACAUGCUCUGUCAUUCUUUUGUGUAUCAAGUUGUGCUUCUGAGGGAUAAAAGAAAACAGAGCUGAAAAUCAAGCUGAUGGACAGAAUGUUCACAGACAGUAUGGACAGAGUCAACACUUGCAGACUAAUUCUCUGAAAUGUGGAGGCAGAUGAGUUAAGUGAAGUGUAAAUCAAAAAGGCAGGCUCUAGUAGCACAUUACUAGCAAAAAAUAGUCUAAUUUUCCUGUAGAUGAGAGAUUUUAUAUUUUAAUAUUAUUACAGCAACACUCUAUUUUCCACCAUGUAUUUCAUAUAAAUUAUCAUAAAAAGCUUUACUCAGUGAAAUAACACAAUUACAGAAAUAGAAAGUAUCAGAGGGAGUGAGAAAUCAAGUAUAGACAAGGGAAAAGGAUAUCUUUCCAGUUCACACUUGAAAUAAAAUAAGAGUAAAUAAAAUACAGAAAUACUGGAAAGCUUAUUCCAGAUGGUAGGAGUUGCAGAGAAGAAGGCACUCAGAGCAGCAAUGGACAGAAUCUGUGGAGGAAUAAAAAUGAAGGCAAUGACAGAUAAGGGGAGUAGAGAGAGGUAAGCCUGAGGAAAUCCAUGGAGGAUAUUAUUAUAUCAAUUCUAUGUCCAGUCAAACAUGGUUGAACCUAUAUAUUAUAUUGAUACUUAAAAACAGUAGCACUUGUAAGAGGAAUUAUAUACACCUUUACAAUGAAUAAAUGUGUGUGGGAAAGUCUCACUCAUAAAGUGUGUAUAAAGGUAGAUUGUAGUAGUCAUGCACCAGAACUUGAAUACAAUUUCUACAGUUAAAAAAAAAAGAAAGAACACAGGAUUAAACUGCAUUAUAGAAAGUAUGGGAAAUGAUACAAUGAUACAAAGAUACCGUUGCAACAGAAUUUUCAGAAAUGAAAA